rnacentral:rRNA from 1 species
AGUCGAGCGAACAGAUAAGGAGCUUGCUCCUUUGACGUUAGCGGCGGACGGGUGAGUAACACGUGGAUAACCUACCUAUAAGACUGGGAUAACUUCGGGAAACCGGAGCUAAUACCGGAUAACAUAUUGAACCGCAUGGUUCGAUAGUGAAAGGCGGCUUUGCUGUCACUUAUACAUGGAUCCGCGCCGUAUUAGCUAGUUGGUAAGGUAACGGCUUACCAAGGCAACGAUACGUAGCCGACCUGAAAGGGUGAUCGGGCACCCUGGAACUGAAACACGGUCCAGACUCCUACGGGAGGCAGCAGUAGGGAAUCUUCCGCAAUGGGCGAAAGCCUGACGGAGCAACGCCGCGUGAGUGAUGAAGGUCUUCGGAUCGUAAAACUCUGUUAUCAGGGAAGAACAAAUGUGUAAGUAACUGUGCACAUCUUGACGGUACCUGAUCAGAAAGCCACGGCUAACUACGUGCCAGCAGCCGCGGUAAUACGUAGGUGGCAAGCGUUAUCCGGAAUUAUUGGGCGUAAAGCGCGCGUAGGCGGUUUUUUAAGUCUGAUGUGAAAGCCCACGGCUCAACCGUGGAGGGUCAUUGGAAACUGGAAAACUUGAGUGCAGAAGAGGAAGAGUGGAAUUCCAUGUGUAGCGGUGAAAUGCGCAGAGAUAUGGAGGAACACCAGUGGCGAAGGCGACUUUCUGGUCUGUAACUGACGCUGAUGUGCGAAAGCGUGGGGAUCAAACAGGAUUAGAUACCCUGGUAGUCCACGCCGUAAACGAUGAGUGCUAAGUGUUAGGGGGUUUCCGCCCCUUAGUGCUGCAGCUAACGCAUUAAGCACUCCGCCUGGGGAGUACGACCGCAAGGUUGAAACUCAAAGGAAUUGACGGGGACCCGCACAAGCGGUGGAGCAUGUGGUUUAAUUCGAAGCAACGGGAAGAACCUUACCAGUUCUUGACUUCCUCUGGCAACCCUAAAAAUAGGUAUUCUCCUUCGGGAGCAGAAUGACAGGUGGUGCAUGGUUGUCGUCAGCUCGGGUCGUGAGAUGGUGGGUUAAGUCCCGCAACGAGCGCAACCCUUGAUAUUAGUUGCCAUCAUUC